UACGUAGGUGACAAGCGUUGUCCGGAUUUACUGGGCGUAAAGAGCGCGCAGGCGGUCGAUCAAGUCGAGUGUGAAAGCCCCCGGCUCAACUGGGGAGGGUCAUUCGAUACUGAUCGACUCGAAGGCAGGAGAGGGUAGUGGAAUUCCCGGUGUAGUGGUGAAAUGCGUAGAUAUCGGGAGGAACACCAGUGGCGAAGGCGACUACCUGGCCUGUUCUGACGCUGAGGCGCGAAAGCUAGGGAGCAACGGG
rnacentral:rRNA from 1 species